rnacentral:rRNA from 1 species
GGCCUCAUACAUGCAAGUCGAGCGCGAAAGUCCGCAAGGAUGAGUAAAGCGGCGCACGGGUGAGUAACACGUGGAUAAUCUACCUUUUGGAUGGGAAUAACCUGUCGAAAGACGGGCUAAUGCCCAGUAAGUUCUUCAAUUCGUGAAGUUUUGAAGAAGAAAGUUGGCGCAAGCUAACGCCGAAAGAUGAGUCUGCGUCCCAUUAGCUAGUUGGUAGGGUAAUGGCCUACCAAGACUACGAUGGGUACCUGGUUUGAGAGAAUGAUCAGGCACACUGGAACUGGAACACGGUCCAGACUCCUACGGGAGGCAGCAGUAGGGAAUAUUGCGCAAUGGGGGAAACCCUGACGCAGCCACGCCGCGUGAGUGAAGAAGGCCUUCGGGUUGUAAAGCUC